UGCCUGUUCGAGCGUCAUUUGACCACUCAAGCCUAGCUUGGUAUUGGGGUUCGCGGUCCCGCGGCCCCUAAAAUCAGUGGCGGUGCGUCUGGCUUCAAGCGUAGUAAUUUUCUCGCUACGGAGUCCGGGCGGUUACUUGCCAGAAUCCUCAUUUUUACAAGGUUGACCUCGGAUCAGGUAGGGAUACCCGCUGAACUUAA
rnacentral:misc_RNA from 1 species